CGUGUCUCUAGUGCCAGCAGCCGCGGUAAUACGGAGGGGGCUAGCGUUAUUCGGAAUUACUGGGCGUAAAGCGCAACGUAGGCGGCUUUGUAAGUCGAGAGGGUGAAACGCCUGGAGCUCAACUCCAGAACUGCCUUUGAGACUGCAUCGCUUGAAUCCAGGAGAGGUGAGUGGAAUUCCGAGUGUAGAGGUGAAAUUCGUAGAUAUUCGGAAAGAACACCAGUGGCGAAGGCGGCUCACUGGACUGGUA
rnacentral:rRNA from 1 species